rnacentral:lncRNA from 1 species
CUUUCAUUAAAAGUCAACAAUCUCGACUGUAGAAAUAAACUAUUGUCGCUGGAAAAAUCAACCAUUUGUCACCAAGGCAGUGGUACAAAAAGUUUGACUUGUACAUGAUGAGUCAGCUAAAAAACAGCUAUAGAUCAGUGCGUUUAUAUUUAGAGAUUUUUGGAUGGUAAGUUCGUUGCUCUUCUAUUGAAUGUAGACAACAUAUUGAUCGUUGCACAAGAUGUAACGAAAAUCAGCCAAUUGGAGAAGGAGCUCUACAAGUCCUUUGACAUGAAAGACUUAGGCCUAGCUCAAGAAUUUUUGGGAAUGCACAUAGCUCAAGAUUGGAAGAAUUAAAGAUUAUGGCUAUAUCUAGGAAAGUAUGUUGAACGAGUGAUCAAGAGAUUUAACAUGCAUAAUAUCAAACCAGUCAACAUUUCACUAGUUAACCACUUCAAGUUGAACAAAAAUUCAUGCCUCCUAUGGCAGUCAAGACGACAGAAGUAUGUUGUGUUAUUCACAACAAAAACAAAAUAUAUUGCAACAAUAGAAGCUGAUAAAAAAAUGUUGUAGUUAAUGCGGGUUCUCUAAGAGCCAAGGAUCAAACAAAAAAAUUACAAAGUACAUUGUGAUAGUUAAGAGUGCUGUGGACUUGAGUAAGUACUCAAUAUAUCAUUCUCGAACAAAGCAUAUGGACAUCCACUAUUGUUGGAUAAGAGAUGUGAUGGAUCAACAAUUGUUGAGACUAGUAAAGAUUCACACAAAUGAGAAUCAAACAAAAAUGUUGACAAAGAUGGUUUCGAGGGAAAAUCUAGAGUUGUCCAGAAGCAUAUCUGGGAUGGUUGUCAUUUAACAAUUGAUUUAGAUGCGGCGGGAGGGAAGAUUUGUUGAUUUUUCUAGUCGCAAUAGUUAUUUUUGAAGCCGAAAUUGUUGACUUUUUAAUGAAAGAUACUCCAACAUGGAAGAGAAAAUUUUGAAGUAAAAUUUUCUUUGCACUGCCGCAAUAUGCAUAAUAAAUGCAACAACCAUUUUUUACCCUUUUGGUUGAAAUUUUAAUGCAUUAGGUGGCAAGAGUCUCUUAUAUAUGUGGGAUGUAUUUUGUAGAGAAAAUACAUCUCAGAAGGAAGAAAGGAAGAAGAGAGAGAUUUGUGAGGUUCUUUUGUAGAGAGUUUGUAAAAUAUUCGUAAUAGAUAUUUUCGUUUUAUAUCUCCUCUUUCCGAAUCACAAUAGGAAUACGUAACAAAUUGACGGAAGAUAAAUGCCUAUCGCAAGAAAUUUUGUAAAGAUUAUUAGUUUCGUUUUCUUUUACUAUUCUGGUCGUUUAAAGAAAAUUUCUCACAAUUAAGGAGCCUUAAUAUUUUAUGUUAUACAUUUAAACAAUAAGCAUACUGAACUGUGGGUAAAGAUUGAAAGAUAACCACUUCAAGAAUUAUUGAUUUAAUGUGAAUUGAAUGUAUAACUUUUAGUAUGGACCAUACUGGCCUAAAGAAGAAUUUUAUUCCAAAAAAUUUUCAAGCGUCCUUUAUACCGGCCUUCUGUUUCACGUUAUUUAUUUAGGGUGUGGAAUUGGGGGGGUCUAAGAUUUGCA